UGGGGAAUAUUGGACAAUGGGCGCAAGCCUGAUCCAGCCAUGCCGCGUGAGUGAUGAAGGCCUUAGGGUUGUAAAGCUCUUUCACCGGGGAAGAUAAUGACGGUACCCGGAGAAGAAGCCCCGGCUAACUUCGUGCCAGCAGCCGCGGUAAUACGAAGGGGGCUAGCGUUGUUCGGAAUUACUGGGCGUAAAGCGCACGUAGGCGGACAUUUAAGUCAGGGGUGAAAUCCCGGAGCUCAACUCUGGAACUGCCUUUGAUACUGGGUGUCUUGAGUGUGGAAGAGGUAAGUGGAAUUGCGAGUGUAGAGGUGAAAUUCGUAGAUAUUCGCAGGAACACCAGUGGCGAAGGCGGCUUACUGGUCCACAACUGACGCUGAGGUGCGAAAGCGUGGGGAGCAAACA
rnacentral:rRNA from 1 species